rnacentral:rRNA from 1 species
UACGUAGGGCGCAAGCGUUGUCCGGAUUCACUGGGUGUAAAGGGCGCGUAGGCGGCCUGAUAAGUAGGGUGUGAAAUCUUGCGGCUUAACCGCAAGGCUGCCUUCUAAACUGUCGGGCUCGAGCACAGUAGAGGCAGGUGGAAUUCCCGGUGUAGCGGUGGAAUGCGUAGAGAUCGGGAAGAACAUCAGUGGCGAAGGCGGCCUGCUGGGCUGUUGCUGACGCUGAGGCGCGACAGCGUGGGGAGCAAGCAGG